rnacentral:rRNA from 1 species
UACAGAGGGUGCAAGCGUUGUUCGGAAUUAUUGGGCGUAAAGAGCUCGUAGGCGGUCUGUCGCGUCUGCUGUGAAAACUCAGGGCUUAACCCUGAGCUUGCAGUGGGUACGGGCAGGCUAGAGUGCGGUAGAGGAGAGUGGAAUUCCCGGUGUAGCAGUGAAAUGCGUAGAGAUCGGGAGGAACAUCAGUUGCGAAGGCGGCUCUCUGGACCAGCACUGACACUGAGGCACGAAAGCGUGGGGAGCCAAACAGG